UACGUAGGGACCGAGCGUUGUCCGGAAUCAUUGGGCGUAAAGAGCGUGUAGGCGGCCUUUUAAGUCCUGCGUGAAAUCCUGCGGCUCAACCGCAGACGGUCGUGGGAAACUGGAAGGCUAGAGUGCGGGAGAGGAGAGUGGAAUUCCCGGUGUAGCGGUGAAAUGCGCAGAUAUCGGGAAGAACACCCGUGGCGAAGGCGGCUCUCUGGAACGCAACUGACGCUGAGACGCGAAAAGCGUGGGUAGCAAACGAGG
rnacentral:rRNA from 1 species